rnacentral:rRNA from 1 species
GUAGGUGGCAAGCGUUGUCCGGAAUUAUUGGGCGUAAAGCGCGCGCAGGCGGUCCUUUAAGUCUGAUGUGAAAGCCCACGGCUCAACCGUGGAGGGUCAUUGGAAACUGGGGGACUUGAGUACAGAAGAGGAAAGCGGAAUUCCAAGUGUAGCGGUGAAAUGCGUAGAGAUUUGGAGGAACACCAGUGGCGAAGGCGGCUUUCUGGUCUGUAACUGACGCUGAGGCGCGAAAGCGUGGGGAGCAAACAGGGAUUAGAUACCCGUGGUAGUCCACGCCGUAAACGAUGAGUGCUAAGUGUUAGGGGGUUUCCCGCCCCCCUUAGUGCUGCAGCUAACGCAUUAAGCACUCGCCUGGGGAUACGGCCGCAAGGCUG